rnacentral:rRNA from 1 species
ACUCGCUGUGAAGAUGCAGUGUACCCGCGGCAAGACGGAAAGACCCCGUGAACCUUUACUAUAGCUUGACACUGAACAUUGAGCCUUGAUGUGUAGGAUAGGUGGGAGGCUUUGAAGUGUGGACGCCAGUCUGCAUGGAGCCGGCCUUGAAAUACCACCCUUUAAUGUUUGAUGUUCUAACGUUGACCCGUGAUCCGGGUUGCGGACAGUGUCUGGUGGGUAGUUUGACUGGGGCGGUCUCCUCCUAAAGAGUAACGGAGGAGCACGAAGGUUGGCUAAUCCUGGUCGGACAUCAGGAGGUUAGUGCAAUGGCAUAAGCCAGCUUGACUGCGAGCGUGACGGCGCGAGCAGGUGCGAAAGCAGGUCAUAGUGAUCCGGUGGUUCUGAAUGGAAGGGCCAUCGCUCAACGGAUAAAAGGUACUCCGGGGAUAACAGGCUGAUACCGCCCAAGAGUUCAUAUCGACGGCGGUGUUUGGCACCUCGAUGUCGGCUCAUCACAUCCUGGGGCUGAAGUAGGUCCCAAGGGUAUGGCUGUUCGCCAUUUAAAGUGGUACGCGAGCUGGGUUUAGAACGUCGUGAGACAGUUCGGUCCCUAUCUGCCGUGGGCGCUGGAGAACUGAGGGGGGCUGCUCCUAGUACGAGAGGACCGGAGUGGACGCAUCACUGGUGUUCGGGUUGUCAUGCCAAUGGCACUGCCCGGUAGCUAAAUGCGGAAGAGAUAAGUGCUGAAAGCAUCUAAGCACGAAACUUGCCCCGAGAUGAGUUCUCCCUGACUCCUUGAGAGUCCUGAAGGAACGUUGAAGACGACGACGUUGAUAGGCCGGGUGUGUAAGCGCAGCGAUGCGUUGAGCUAACCGGUACUAAUGAACCGUGAGGCUUAACCUU